rnacentral:sRNA from 1 species
UCUCUCUCUCUCUCUCUCUCUCUCUCUCUCUCUCUCUCUCUUCCCUCCUUCCCUCCCUUCCCUGCCACUCUUGUGCUCGUGGAUCAGAAAUAAGCUCUCAGCUACUGCUCCAGUACCAUGCCUGGAGCUGCCAUGCUUCCCACCAUGAAGGUCAUGGACUCGUCCUCUGGAACUACUCCCAGAGCAGCAAUGCUCUCAGAAGCCCGGCCACACUGCCUGCCUCAGAAUCAGAAGACACUGUGGGGUUUCCUCAGGCACAGCUUCCGCCGGUGCCUGGACAGUCACUACAGGAGUGAUCCAGAGUGGGAAAGCCCUCUGGCGAAGGUCUCAUGACUGCCUUAACUGGCCCUGCUUGGCUCCUGCUGCCCUCCGGCACUCACAGAAGCCGGUCUCCAUUGCCCUAGGGCUGGGAUCCUGCUGCAUCAGCUCCAUUCCCUUUGUGGGGCUAGUGUCAUCAGAAGGCUGUGCAGAUCCAGGCAGGGAGGAGCCCAGACCCUGGGGGUUGGUUUGGUGUCUGUCAUCCAUGAAGACCAAGGUUUACCUGGGUUACAUGAGACCCUGGAGUCCAGUCUUGGUCCCCAGCGCUCAAAAGCUGUGUGACCUCAUGCGUGUCCAGCUGCUUCUCGGCCCUUUUGAAACAAACCAUUUCUCAAAUAGUGGGAUCUGAGAAACCUUCACUUGAGUUAACAAUCUUUGUUGGUCAGUCAGAAUUAGACAAGGCACAACCAUGAAACUAGAACUAACCCCUGGGCUGGAAAAUACAUUUUGUUGUCAUUUAUGCAAGAAAAAAAAUUUAUUCUAAACCCAAAACCUUGACUACCUCCCCAAGUUACUAUUGUCAAAUGCAGUAAGCAGAGAGCUCUUUCAUAACAGCAGAGGGACAGAUGCACUGAGCUCUCAGGAUGCUUGGGGUGAUUCUAACCAGGUUAAGUGGUGAAGAUGUAAAUGUCCAGAAAAACCAUGUGAAUGCUCCUAUCUCUCGUGCCCAGCUUGUCUGGGCCCGUGGAGUGAGUCCAGAUGCCCCUUUCAGAGAGUAUUCUUUGAAACUUCUUCCUUCUGCCCACUCUCUGUGCCAUUCAGUCCUCUGAACAAACCAGCCACCAUCUUCCUCAGAUGAGCUGUGCCUGUUUGCACUAGUCUGUCACUGUUGGGCCUGUAAACCGUUAGCAUGCCUCAUAGAGAAAGGCAAUGGAGAGGGUCACCAGACACUGCUCCGUCCAGCCAUCUGGAGGCAGUUCUGCCCUGAUUGCUCAUGGCCUCGGGCUUGGAAGCUGCUAGAGUAAAUAGGCUGUGGAAGGCCAGCUGAAGGGGGCACCAUGCUAUGAGGGACCCCAUGCUCCUGCCCUUAGCACCUCCCCCAUGCUCUGUAAGUCCAAUGAACUGGUUACUUUCCCGAGGUGAACUUUGUCCUUAGGACUGAGGAGGAGUGGGUAGAUUUGUUAUCCACUCUCCAGGGAAUGUCAGUGUUCAUUGAGAAAAAUAUUUGUAAUCUAAUGCAGUUGAGAUCCUUCCAAUGUUUUGAAAUAAUUGAAAAUAGUAUUUACUAUUUCAGUUCUAAAAUUUCAUAGCUAUAAAUACACACAGUCUUGCCUAUAAAUAUA